AUGACCAGGGCACCAGAGGUUAUGCUAACAACCUUUAAGUGCAGAUCCUCUGACUCCAGAGAAGCGGUCGCCCCUGCAGACAUCAGAUGUGAGGAAACAGUCAGACAACAGCGAUUCAGCCUGUUAGGAACCUCCCGAAUGCGUUCCAGCAGAUUGUGGUCAGAUAAACAGUUCUCAGGGCAAAACUUUAAGCAGAGCACGCUCCUCGACGACCUCCUGAGGAGAGAAAAGAGGCGAGGAGAUGGGUUACUGCUUACACCUCCCAGUAUGGAGGCUGUUCUCUCAGUCUCUCCAUCCCGGCAUUGUUUUCAAUUUAGUUGUCUCCGUUCCUCAACGCGGCAGGCAGACAUGCUCUCCAGGGCAAGUAAAUGCUCGACACACCGCCGGGGUCCUCGGCAGAACGGCUGA
ensembl:lncRNA